GGACGUGGCAGCCUGCGAAAAGUAUCGGGGAGCUGGCAACAAG
rnacentral:rRNA from 1 species